rnacentral:rRNA from 1 species
GUCCACGCUGUAAACGAUGAAUGCUAGGUGUCGGGGCGAGAGUUUCGGUGCCGGAGUUAACACAAUAAGCAUUCCGCCUGGGGAGUACGGCCGCAAGGCUGAAACUCAAAGGAAUUGACGGGGGCCCGCACAAGCGGUGGAGUAUGUGGUUUAAUUCGACGCAACGCGAAGAACCUUACCAAGACUUGACAUGGAAAUGACCGGCUAAGAAAUUAGCUUUCCCUUCGGGGCAUUUCACACAGGUGGUGCAUGGUUGUCGU